rnacentral:lncRNA from 1 species
AAGUACUGCUUGGUCCUCUGAACAAUAGUAAUGGUCUUUUCUCAUUUAUAAUGCUCAGGUGUCUGGUUUCCAGGAGCCCUAGGACACAGGAACCAAGGAGACUGCCCAGGUUUGUCCAUAUCUAUCCCUCAA